rnacentral:lncRNA from 1 species
CUCAUUACUUACAUUGAACGCGAUGCACAACAAAUCCAAUAAAUCUCACAAAUUCCUCGCAGAACCUAAUAUCUAAAAAUCAUAUUUUCUUUUAAAAUUCAUCACAAUAUAUAUAAAACUUAAAUUUUAAUAUUCUCCCAGGGUUGACCCUGCUAAGGUGUCUAGCACCCCGGUUUCGGAUUCGGAUUCGGGUUCAUACCCGUAGACCACCCUCUUCCCUUUAUUUUAUUAUUAUUAUUNNNNNNNNNNNNNNNNNNNNUAUUCUCCCAGGGUUGACCCUGCUAAGGUGUCUAGCACCCCGGUUUCGGAUUCGGAUUCGGGUUCAUACCCGUAGACCACCCUCUUCCCUUUAUUUUAUUAUUAUUAUUAUUUUCUUUUCUUUUCUUUUUUUCUUUUCUUUUCUUCUCUUCUUCUCCCGAAGCUUCCUCUCCUUUCUUUCUUUUUCUUCUUCUUCUCUUCUCCUCUCUUUUCUUUGGCGGAACAGGGGACCCAUACCCCCAUUUCCUUCCUUCUCCGUCGGACUCAGGGGUGGCCACGGUGGCCAACCCCGUUGGCGGCAAGGGGUGGCGAAGCAAAGUGCGACCACCCCCAGCAGCUGGCGGCGGCGCACAAGGCCGGCGACGAGAGGACAUGCCCGAACAGGGCUCUUCUGUUUUUGGGUAAAAAUCCCGACGAUGGCCGGCUCAAAACCAUGACAAAUCAUGGCUAAAUAUCAUGGAAGGAAGGGAGGAAAGCUGGGAGUCCUUACCUCGGCCCCGAU